rnacentral:rRNA from 1 species
GAUGAACGCUAGCGGCAGGCCUAACACAUGCAAGUCGAGGGGUAGAGGAAGCUUGCUUCCUUGAGACCGGCGCACGGGUGCGUAACGCGUAUGCAACCUACCUUUUACAGGGGAAUAGCCCAGAGAAAUUUGGAUUAAUGCCCCAUGGUAUAAUCGGAUGGCAUCAUUUGAUUAUUAAAGUUCCAACGGUAAAGAUGGGCAUGCGUCCUAUUAGCUAGAUGGUAAGGUAACGGCUUACCAUGGCUACGAUAGGUAGGGUCCUGAGAGGGAGAUCCCCCACACUGGUACUGAGACACGGACCAGACUCCUACGGGAGGCAGCAGUGAGGAAUAUUGGACAAUGGGCGCAAGCCUGAUCCAGCCAUGCCGCGUGCAGGAAGACGCAUCUAUGGUGUGUAAACUGCUUUUGUACGGGAAGAACACUCCUACGUGUAGGAGCUUGACGGUACCGUAANAAUAAGGAUCGGGCUAACUCCGUGCCAGCAGCCGACGG